UUUUUCAUUUUGAUUCAGAAAUGAGAGCACUUUGAAAAUACAUCCAUGAUACUGGCUACCCAUAAAGAAAAUGAACUAAAUGUCAGUGGAACAGACAGAGAAUCGGAAAACAAAAGAAAGUCAAGAGAUUCAUCCAAGUGACCCAGACUACAGUAUUCCAUUAUAGAAGUUGAAGUGGACUAAGAUAAAACAAAUAUGGAGCAUUGGUCAUCACAAAGUAUAUUGGACAGAUCUAUAUAAUGCUUCCUUGCGAAGAACCUUCUUUUGAGAUACUAGAAGGACAUGUUUGCUUCCCUUUCCACCAUGACUGUAAGUUUCCUAAGGUCUUCCCAGCCAUGUGAACUGUGAAACAAUUAGACAUCUCUCCUUUAUAAAUUACCCAGUCUCAGGUAUGUCACUACUAGCAGCAU
rnacentral:lncRNA from 1 species